CAGGAAGAACAUUAGAAAAAUUUGUUCAUGAAAGUAAAGAAGUUAUGUUUGAAAUUGAUCUGAAUUUAGUUCUUUGAACAUGGAUCAUCUUCUUUUGAUAUAUCAAGUUGAUUUUAAUCCAAAUGAUAUUCUUCAUAGGUUUUGAGGAAAUUGAUUAUUGAUCUUGAUGUUUUAAUUGAUCUAGAACUUUGGGUAAGUUAUAAGGAACGUCAAUUUCAUUUAUAUGUGCCUUGAUUCAAGUAUUUUGAAAUUAGGUUUCUUCAUGUAAUUUUGGGGGUUUCAAUACAAAUCAUGUGCUUAUGCAAAUAUAUGAAUUAGGUUCUUAAAUCUCUUACUAAAUUUGUGUUUAACAAGCUCUCGGUAAGAAACUUCAUGAUUUGAUUGUUUCUCCACUUUGUGAACCCUAGAUUGUUUGUUUAAGUUUUACUAAUAUCUUUAAAUUCAACCGUUGGAAUAUGAUGAAAUUUUACUAUGUUAUGAAUUACUGAUCCAUAAUGAUGCUCUCAAAAUUUCAUAAGGAUCAGAUCUCGUUUACUACUUCAAAGAUUUCAUAAUAUAUGUCUGCCUUCUACAGAUUUUUAAUUCUGAACAGCCAAGUGAUCUUAGUGGUUUUCAUUAACCGUACAUUGCAUGAGGCUGAAUUUUUAGUAUGUUAUUCAGUACUUUGGAGGUAACUUUCUGUGAAUUUUCAAGUGAAUCUGAUCAGUAUAAGUCCCUCAAUGAGUGGGAAAACCUGGACUGAAUUGUGCACGAUGAUUCUGAAAGUGGUCAGCUUGUGAUGUAUUUAUAUCUUUAAUGAACCAUUAGAAUUUCAUGAAUUUUUGAUAUGUUAUGGUUAUAUAUGUUAGGAAGACUCGGUAAAAGUUUCAGGACGAUCGGGAUCGGGGAAGUGGCUGAAACACUUAUAGUACAUAGAACCGUUUGCACAUAAUUUAUACAACAAGACAGACUUCUUGUGAUUAAUAUGAGGCCCUUAGAGUGCAUAAAUUUCUCUGAUUUUGGAUAAGAGGAACCUUUUAGUAUUUUAGGAACAACAGUAAUAUUUCAUGAUUUUUGAAUGGCUACAUCAUUUCACUUUGUUGGAUUUGAAACUAAACAAAAGAUAAGUAAUUUGUUUGUGUAUUUGAAUGGGUUGGCUUAUGCAUGCAUGUUAAAUAUAUGUUUUGUUAUAGUAUUUAGAAUGCGUCGUACUGAAAAGGAGAAAUGCUUUUUCAAAUGCUAUUUUUCCCCAUUUAUAAGGAGGUAAAGGUGCUUGUAGAAAUGAUUGUUAGAACCUUAACUCUUUUAUCUCAGGUUUUGUUGAAUUCGUUGUUAACACCUUCCUUUCAUUUAUCGUUCCAUUUUGAUGAAUGGAUAAAUUAUUUCGUGUCGUUAAAUGCUGACUUCAAGCAUUAAGCCUUGUUGAUAUGGGAAUAAGUUAGCUACUGGUUGAAGGCCAUGUGCAUUAUCAGAGGCAAUCAAUGCUUUUAUUUUUUCUCUUUUUAGCAUGAGGCCCAAGUAUAUACAGUGAGGCGCAUAGUUGUGCUUGAGUUUCUUAUGAAGUUUGGAGGCAUUAUGGAACUUCACUACAAGGAAUGCAUGGUUGAAAGGAAUAAUCAUGGAUGGCUUUGGAAUUCUCCUUACUUUUGAUUUUCUUCAAAUGAUCACGGACAUGAAACCUGCUUGAAGCAUUUUUAGUCGAUUCCUUGGAAGCUUUAAUUCAGUGAUUAUUGAUUUAUUUUGUCAUGUUGAUUACAGUCUGUCAAAUUCAAAUUCUUUGUCUUGACCAGUUUGUAACUAAUGGGAAAGAAGUUAAGUCCUACCUUGAGUCUCAA